rnacentral:rRNA from 1 species
AUUGAACGCUGGCGGCAGGCUUAACACAUGCAAGUCGAGCGGAGAUGAGGUGCUUGCACCUUAUCUUAGCGGCGGACGGGUGAGUAAUGCUUAGGAAUCUGCCUAUUAGUGGGGGACAACAUUCCGAAAGGGAUGCUAAUACCGCAUACGUCCUACGGGAGAAAGCAGGGGAUCUUCGGACCUUGCGCUAAUAGAUGAGCCUAAGUCGGAUUAGCUAGUGGGUGGGGUAAAGGCCUACCAAGGCGACGAUCUGUAGCGGGUCUGAGAGGAUGAUCCGCCACACUGGGACUGAGACACGGCCCAGACUCCUACGGGAGGCAGCAGUGGGGAAUAUUGGACAAUGGGGGGAACCCUGAUCCAGCCAUGCCGCGUGUGUGAAGAAGGCCUUAUGGUUGUAAAGCACUUUAAGCGAGGAGGAGGCUACUGAGACUAAUACUCUUGGAUAGUGGACGUUACUCGCAGAAUAAGCACCGGCUAACUCUGUGCCAGCAGCCGCAGUAAGAC